AUAGCUCCACCUUCCAAUCUGAAGGACAGGGCGGUGAUGAGGUGGAGUCCCAAGACUGAUGGGAUCUAGCAGGAUAAUGAUGAGCUUUGUGGGGCAUGAUGAAAAAAGUCAGACAAGUCCCCAAGAAGUGCAAUCAGCUCUUGAAGAAGGCACGUAUUUGUCCCACUCCACCCCUCUGCUCUACUCCUGAAAAAAACAAAGAGAACCAGAAAAUGAAACUGACCAGGAUCGUAUUUCACUAUCACUGGAAGAGCAAAGUGGAAAGACACAAAUUCAAACAGCCUGGAUGAUGACAAAUAAAUGAGAUUUUGGAAAGACACUCAGGGCUCUCAACG